rnacentral:rRNA from 1 species
CGAUUACUAGCGAUUCCAGCUUCACGCAGUCGAGUUGCAGACUGCGAUCCGAACUGAGAACAGAUUUGUGGGAUUGGCUUAACCUCGCGGUUUCGCUGCCCUUUGUUCUGUCCAUUGUAGCACGUGUGUAGCCCAGGUCAUAAGGGGCAUGAUGAUUUGACGUCAUCCCCACCUUCCUCCGGUUUGUCACCGGCAGUCACCUUAGAGUGCCCAACUGAAUGCUGGCAACUAAGAUCAAGGGUUGCGCUCGUUGCGGGACUUAACCCAACAUCUCACGACACGAGCUGACGACAACCAUGCACCACCUGUCACUCUGCCCCCGAAGGGGACGUCCUAUCUCUAGGAUUGUCAGAGGAUGUCAAGACCUGGUAAGGUUCUUCGCGUUGCUUCGAAUUAAACCACAUGCUCCACCGCUUGUGCGGGCCCCCGUCAAUUCCUUUGAGUUUCAGUCUUGCGACCGUACUCCCCAGGCGGAGUGCUUAAUGCGUUAGCUGCAGCACUAAGGGGCGGAAACCCCCUAACACUUAGCACUCAUCGUUUACGGCGUGGACUACCAGGGUAUCUAAUCCUGUUCGCUCCCCACGCUUUCGCUCCUCAGCGUCAGUUACAGACCAGAGAGUCGCCUUCGCCACUGGUGUUCCUCCACAUCUCUACGCAUUUCACCGCUACACGUGGAAUUCCACUCUCCUCUUCUGCACUCAAGUUCCCCAGUUUCCAAUGACCCUCCCCGGUUGAGCCGGGGGCUUUCACAUCAGACUUAAGGAACCGCCUGCGAGCCCUUUACGCCCAAUAAUU